UUCAGUGUUCAUUAAUACAGUUUCAUUGGAGCACAACCAUGCCCGUUUGUUGACAUCUCAUUUUUUUUUGUUUUUAGGUGGAAUUGGACAAUUGCAAUAGAGACUACAUGGUCUGCAAAACCUAAAAUGUUUAUUAUUUGGCACCUCACAAAAUAGUUUCCUGAUUCUUGGGAAAGGUUCAUUUUCCUAUUGUAGUUCAGUGUCAACUUUGACAAAAAAAGUUUUGGUGACAAGGAAUAGCAUCUGAAGCUGAGUGCUAAGGGCUUGCAGGAUGAGUUGCAGAAGCCGUGUCCCCAUGGAACCUUUGAAUUCACUCUUCCUCUAGUGUUUCCCAAGGUCUUGG